rnacentral:rRNA from 1 species
UGGGGAAUUUUGGACAAUGGGGGAAACCCUGAUCCAGCCAUCCCGCGUGUGCGAUGAAGGCCUUCGGGUUGUAAAGCACUUUUGGCAGGAAAGAAACGUCGCGGGUUAAUACCCCGCGAAACUGACGGUACCUGCAGAAUAAGCACCGGCUAACUACGUGCCAGCAGCCGCGGUAAUACGUAGGGUGCAAGCGUUAAUCGGAAUUACUGCGCGUAAAGCGUGCGCAGGCGGUUCGGAAAGAAAGAUGUGAAAUCCCAGAGCUUAACUUUGGAACUGCAUUUUUAACUACCGGGCUAGAGUGUGUCAGAGGGAGGUGGAAUUCCGCGUGUAGCAGUGAAAUGCGUAGAUAUGCGGAGGAACACCGAUGGCGAAGGCAGCCUCCUGGGAUAACACUGACGCUCAUGCACGAAAGCGUGGGGAGCAAACAGGAUUAGAUACCCUGGUAGUCCACGCCCUAAACGAUGUCAACUAGCUGUUGGGGCCUUCGGGCCUUGGUAGCGCAGCUAACGCGUGAAGUUGACCGCCUGGGGAGUACGGUCGCAAGAUUAAAACUCAAAGGAAUUGACGGGGUCAUAGCUGUUUCCU